UACGGGGGGUGCGAGCGUUGUCCGGAAUCACUGGGCGUAAAGGGCGCGUAGGUGGUCUGAUAAGGGUGUGGUGAAAGCCCGGGGCUCAACCCCGGGUCGGCCGUGCCGACUGUUAGACUAGAGUGCGGUAGGGGAGAUUGGAAUUCCUGGUGUAGCGGUGGAAUGCGCAGAUAUCAGGAGGAACACCAAUGGCGAAGGCAGAUCUCUGGGCCGUAACUGACGCUGAGGAGCGAAAGCAUGGGGAGCGAACAGG
rnacentral:rRNA from 1 species